AAUUCGAUUAGUUUGAUCAUGGCUCAGAAUCAACGCUGGCGGCGUGCCUCAGACAUGCAAGUCGAACGAUUAAACUUUCCUUCGGGAAAGAUAUAAAGUGGCGCACGGGUGAGUAACACGUAGGUAAUGUACCUUUGGGUGGGGAAUAACAGUCGGAAACGACUGCUAAUACCGCAUAAUGCAGCGGCUCCUUAUGGAGACAGUUGUUAAAGAUUUAUCGCCUAAAGAGCAGCCUGCGGCAGAUUAGCUAGUUGGUAAGGUAAUGGCUUACCAAGGCUACGAUCUGUAGCCGACCUGAGAGGGUGGUCGGUCACACUGACACUGAAUAACGGGUCAGACUCCUACGGGAGGCAGCAGUCGGGAAUUUUGGGCAAUGGGCGAAAGCCUGACCCAGCAACGCCGCGUGAAGGAUGAAGUCUUUCGGGAUGUAAACUUCGUAAAAAUAGGAAGAAUAAAUGACGGUACUAUUUGUAAGGUCCGGCUAACUACGUGCCGGCAGCCGCGGUAAUACGUAGGGACCAAGCGUUGUUCGGAUUUACUGGGCGUAAAGGGCGCGUAGGCGGCGUGGCAAGUCACUUGUGAAAUCUCCGGGCUUAACUCGGAACGGUCAAGUGAAACUGUCGUGCUAGAGUACAGAAAGGGUAAUCGGAAUUCUUGGUGUAGCGGUGAAAUGCGUAGAUAUCAAGAGGAACACCAGAGGCGAAGGCGGAUUACUAGGCUGAUACUGACGCUGAGGCGCGAAAGCUAGGGUAGCAAACGGGA
rnacentral:rRNA from 1 species